rnacentral:lncRNA from 1 species
CGGGCGCACAGGGUGCGUGUGUGGUUUCAGUUGAUUGCGUGGUCUAUGGUUUAGUGAAGGUGUCUUGUGGUUUUUAUAUUGUGCGAGUGCACGGCCGGGUUGCUGACGGUUGUGGAGUGCGGCGUCUUCGCGACUCGUGUUCAUAAGGCACAGUUAAACGUGUCACUCAUUGCGUUGGUAACACCGGUUCGACUCUUACUGUUGUGUGAGCUCCGCCAUGUCGGAAGGACGAAGGGAUGAAACUUUGAACAACGGUGAACCUGAUCCAGUCAACAACGCACCGACGCUGACGGACCAGUUGAACAAGCGGUUGUUGCAAUCGUUUCUUCAAAGAUUGAAUGAGACGUGCGAAGCGCCGACAGUGCCUCAGACGGAGACUGCUGCGCCUGAUGAUUUUAACGACUACUGAUGCUCGCUUCGUGUCGGAAAUCCUGUUUCGAGGCACAGAAAACCCGUCUGCGUUUGUUCCCUCUUCAGCGCCUGGUAUCGCAUAUUUCGGCACCGGAAGUACAUAUCCCUCCAGAGACGUGGUAUACUGCACUUCGCAUGAACAUUAUGAAGAUAAAGUGACCUUAAUGUAACGCAAGGCCCCUUAGCAUGGGGCGUGGCCGUGUUGCACGUGGCACUGCGCGCGCGUCAAAGAAGACCAAUGCAGCCAUUUUCUUUUUUUAGCAAGCUUUAAUAAAAACAGACUUCAGAAAGCAAACUUUAUACAUGUGAUGAAAACACCA